rnacentral:rRNA from 1 species
AUUAGUGGCGAACGGGUGAGUAACACGUGAGCAACCUGCCCCUGACUCUGGGAUAAGCGCUGGAAACGGCGUCUAAUACUGGAUAUGUCCCAUCACCGCAUGGUGUGUGGGUGGAAAGAUUUAUCGGUUGGGGAUGGGCUCGCGGCCUAUCAGCUUGUUGGUGAGGUAAUGGCUCACCAAGGCGUCGACGGGUAGCCGGCCUGAGAGGGUGACCGGCCACACUGGGACUGAGACACGGCCCAGACUCCUACGGGAGGCAGCAGUGGGGAAUAUUGCACAAUGGGCGAAAGCCUGAUGCAGCAACGCCGCGUGAGGGAUGACGGCCUUCGGGUUGUAAACCUCUUUUAGCAGGGAAGAAGCGAGAGUGACGGUACCUGCAGAAAAAGCACCGGCUAACUACGUGCCAGCAGCCGCGGUAAUACGUAGGGUGCAAGCGUUAUCCGGAAUUAUUGGGCGUAAAGAGCUCGUAGGCGGUCUGUCGCGUCUGCUGUGAAAUCCCGAGGCUCAACCUCGGGCUUGCAGUGGGUACGGGCAGACUAGAGUGCGGUAGGGGAGAUUGGAAUUCCUGGUGUAGCGGUGGAAUGCGCAGAUAUCAGGAGGAACACCGAUGGCGAAGGCAGAUCUCUGGGCCGUAACUGACGCUGAGGAGCGAAAGGGUGGGGAGCAAACAGGCUUAGAUACCCUGGUAGUCCACCCCGUAAACGUUGGGAACUAGUUGUGGGGUCCUUUCCACGGAUUCCGUGACGCAGCUAACGCAUUAAGUUCCCCGCCUGGGGAGUACGGCCGCAAGGCUAAAACUCAAAGGAAUUGACGGGGACCCGCACAAGCGGCGGAGCAUGCGGAUUAAUUCGAUGCAACGCGAAGAACCUUACCAAGGCUUGACAUACACGAGAACGGGCCAGAAAUGGUCAACUCUUUGGACACUCGUGAACAGGUGGUGCAUGGUUGUCGUCAGCUCGUGUCGUGAGAUGUUGGGUUAAGUCCCGCAACGAGCGCAACCCUCGUUCUAUGUUGCCAGCACGUAAUGGUGGGAACUCAUGGGAUACUGCCGGGGUCAACUCGGAGGAAGGUGGGGAUGACGUCAAAUCAUCAUGCCCCUUAUGUCUUGGGCUUCACGCAUGCUACAAUGGCCGGUACAAUGGGCUGCGAUACCGUAAGGUGGAGCGAAUCCCAAAAAGCCGGUCCCAGUUCGGAUUGAGGUCUGCAACUCGACCUCAUGAAGUCGGAGUCGCUAGUAAUCGCAGAUCAGCAACGCUGCGGUGAAUACGUUCCCGGGUCUUGUACACACCGCCCGUCAAGUCAUGAAAGUCGGUAACACCUGAAGCC